UUUUUCUGGUAUUGGUGAUAGGUUUAUGCUGGCCUAAUAAAAUGAGUUGUCAAGUGUCAAGCCUUGUCGACUUUCUUAAAGAGAUAUUAAUUAUUUUGACAAGCAGCAGGGAAAUGCCAUGAAUAUGUGAACUGAUGAAAACAAAAGCAAUGAUACUUCCAAGGAUGCACCUGACAGCUCUUAAGGGAUCUAGAGAAAUGAGAGAAUUACAGAGAAGAUUUCAAGUGUUUUACUAAUAAACUCAGGUACUGAAUUUAAAGGAAUGCCCGUGGCUUCUACCCUAGAAGAUCUUAAGAGUCUGAAUGGAGGAAGAAAAGCUAAAAAGUAAUGAUAGUGGCAUGUGAGGAAGGUAUAUAAUAGAGGAAGCCAUGUAAACACUAAAGUGCCUCUAUUCCUGUGAAAUAUUCAGAAGAUUAUAUUUGGUUUGUGUCUGAAAGCCCUGUGGCUGUGUGUCACCAAAAAUGGUGUAAAAGGUGGUAGUGCAUCCCGGACAGAGGGGAUAGCAUGGACAAAGACUCCAAGUCAUUAGACUUUUAGUUUGUUGGAAGAACUGGAAGGAAUUUAGUAGGCCCAAGUCAUAGUCGGUGCUUGCCGGUCAACACACCUGCUUUUUCCUUCCUGAAAUUCUCAUGCAAGCUAAUCUCAUCAGCCAAAUUGUUCAACUCCAGAGGUCUAGA
rnacentral:lncRNA from 1 species